rnacentral:rRNA from 1 species
AUUGAACGCUGGCGGCAGGCCUAACACAUGCAAGUCGAACGGUAACAGGAAGCAGCUUGCUGCUUCGCUGACGAGUGGCGGACGGGUGAGUAAUGUCUGGGAAACUUCCUGAUGGAGGGGGAUAACUACUGGAAACGGUAGCUAAUACCGCAUAACGUCGCAAGACCAAAGAGGGGGACCUUAGGGCCUCUUGCCAUCGGAUGUGCCCAGAUGGGAUUAGCUAGUAGGUGGGGUAACGGCUCACCUAGGCGACGAUCCCUAGCUGGUCUGAGAGGAUGACCAGCCACACUGGAACUGAGACACGGUCCAGACUCCUACGGGAGGCAGCAGUGGGGAAUAUUGCACAAUGGGCGCAAGCCUGAUGCAGCCAUGCCGCGUGUAUGAAGAAGGCCUUCGGGUUGUAAAGUACUUUCAGCGGGGAGGAAGGGAGUAAAGUUAAUACCUUUGCUCAUUGACGUUACCCGCAGAAGAAGCACCGGCUAACUCCGU